GGCGGACGGGUGAGUAACGCGUAGGAAUCUGCCUACUAGCGGGGGAUAGCCCGAAGAAAUUCGGAUUAAUACCGCAUAAGCCCUACGGGGGAAAGCUGGGGAUCUUCGGACCUGGCACUAGUAGACGAGCCUGCGUUAGAUUAGCUUGUUGGUGGGGUAAUGGCCUACCAAGGCGACGAUCUAUAGCUGGUCUGAGAGGACGAUCAGCCACACUGGGACUGAGACACGGCCCAG
rnacentral:rRNA from 1 species